rnacentral:rRNA from 1 species
GUGCCAGCAGCGGCGGUAAUACGGAGGGUGCAAGCGUUAAUCGGAAUUACUGGGCGUAAAGCGCACGCAGGCGGUCUGUCAAGUCGGAUGUGAAAUCCCCGGGCUCAACCUGGGAACUGCAUUCGAAACUGGCAGGCUAGAGUCUCGUAGAGGGAGGUAGAAUUCCAGGUGUAGCGGUGAAAUGCGUAGAGAUCUGGAGGAAUACCGGGUGGCGAAGGCGGCCCUCGUAGGACGAAGACGUGACGCUCGAGGUCG